rnacentral:rRNA from 1 species
CCUACGGGAGGCAGCAGUAGGGAAUAUUGCUCAAUGGGGGAAACCCUGAAGCAGCAACGCCGCGUGGAGGAUGAAGGUUUUCGGAUUGUAAACUCCUUUUGUUAGAGAAGAUAAUGACGGUAUCUAACGAAUAAGCACCGGCUAACUCCGGGCCAGCAGCCGCGGGAAUACGGAGGGUGCAAGCGUUACUCGGAAUCACUGGGCGUAAAGAGCGCGUAGGCGGGAUAGCAAGUCAGAUGUGAAAUCCUAUGGCUUAACCAUAGAACUGCAUUUGAAACUGUUAGUCUAGAGUAUGGGAGAGGUAGGUGGAAUUCUUGGUGUAGGGGUAAAAUCCGUAGAGAUCGAGAGGAAUACUCAUUGCGAAGGCGGCCUGCUAGAACAUAACUGACGCUGAUGCGCGAAAGCGUGGGGAGCAAACAGGAUUAGAUACCCGAGUAGUC